UUACGGUCACAUCACGUUGAGAGACCGAUUCCCGUCCGAUCACCGAAGUUAAGCAACAUCGAGCAUGGCCAGGACCUAAGAUGGGUGACCGCUUGGGAAUAACAGGUUCUGUAA